rnacentral:rRNA from 1 species
UACGUAGGGGGCAAGCGUUGUCCGGAAUUAUUGGGCGUAAAGAGCUCGUAGGCGGUCUGUUGCGUCCGCUGUGAAAACUCGGGGCUUAACCCCGAGCCUGCAGUGGAUACGGGCAGACUAGAGGUAGGUAGGGGAGAAUGGAAUUCCCGGUGUAGCGGUGAAAUCGCGCAGAUAUCGGGAGGAACACCGGUGGCGAAGGCGGUUCUGCUGG